rnacentral:rRNA from 1 species
UACGUAGGGGGCAAGCGUUGUCCGGAUUUAUUGGGCGUAAAGAGCGUGUAGGCGGCUAGGUAGGUCCGUUGUGAAAACUCGAGCUCAACCUCGAGACGCCGGUGGAAACCAUCUAGCUAGAGUCCGGAAGAGGAGAGUGGAAUUCCUGGAUGUGAGCGGUGGAAAUGACGCAGAUAUCAGGAAGAACACCCGUGGCGAAGGCGGCUCUCUGGGACGUGACUGACGCUGAGACGCGAAAGCGUGGGGAGCGAACAGG